CCUACGGGAGGCAGCAGUGGGGAAUUUUGGACAAUGGGCGCAAGCCUGAUCCAGCCAUGCCGCGUGUGGGAAGAAGGCCUUCGGGUUGUAAACCACUUUUGUCAGGGAAGAAACGGUCUGAACUAAUACUUUGGACUAAUGACGGUACCUGAAGAAUAAGCACCGGCUAACUACGUGCCAGCAGCCGCGGUAAUACGUAGGGUGCAAGCGUUAAUCGGAAUUACUGGGCGUAAAGCGUGCGCAGGCGGCUUUGCAAGACAGAUGUGAAAUCCCCGGGCUCAACCUGGGAACUGCAUUUGUGACUGCAUGGCUAGAGUACGGUAGAGGGGGAUGGAAUUCCGCGUGUAGCAGUGAAAUGCGUAGAUAUGCGGAGGAACACCGAUGGCGAAGGCAAUCCCCUGGACCUGUACUGACGCUCAUGCACGAAAGCGUGGGGAGCAAACAGGAUUAGAUACCCUGGUAGUCCACGCCCUAAACGAUGUCAACUGGUUGUUGGGAGGGUUUCUUCUCAGUAACGAAGCUAACGCGUGAAGUUGACCGCCUGGGGAGUACGGCCGCAAGGUUGAAACGUUAAUGAAUUACGG
rnacentral:rRNA from 1 species